UACGUAGGUGGCAAGCGUUGUUCGGAAUUACUGGGCGUAAAGCGCGCGUAGGCGGCUCUUCAAGUCAGGCGUGAAAGCCCCGGGCUUAACUCGGGAACUGCGCUUGAUACUGUCGAGCUAGAGUGUGGAAGGGGCGAUUGGAAUUCCGUGUGUAGCGGUGAAAUGCGUAGAUAUACGGAGGAACACCAGAGGCGAAGGCGGAUCGCUGGGCCAACACUGACGCUGAUGUGCGAAAGCCAGGGGAGCAAACGGG
rnacentral:rRNA from 1 species